rnacentral:piRNA from 1 species
UAAGAAGAAUGUGUCGGAGAUGCUAAAGC